GACGAACGCUGGCGGCGUGCUUAACACAUGCAAGUCGAACGGAAAGGCCCUGCUUUUGUGGGGUGCUCGAGUGGCGAACGGGUGAGUAACACGUGAGUAACCUGCCCUUGACUUUGGGAUAACUUCAGGAAACUGGGGCUAAUACCGGAUAGGAGCUCCUGCUGCAUGGGGGGGGUUGGAAAGUUUCGGCGGUUGUGGCUGGACUCGCGGCUUAUCAGCUUGUUGGGGGAGUAGUGGCUUACCAAGUCUUCGACGGGUAGCCCGCCUGGGAGGGUGGCCGGCCUCAUUGGGCCUGCGGGACGGCCCAGACUGCUACGGGCGGCAGCAGUGGGGAGUAUUGCACAAUGGGGGGACGCCUGAUGCGACGGCGUCGCGUGCGGAAUGACGGCCUUCGGGUUGUAAACCGCUUUCGCCUGUGACGAAGCGUGAGUGACGGUACUGGGUAAAGAAGCACCGGCUAACUACGUG
rnacentral:rRNA from 1 species